CAAUAGCGUAUAUUAAAGCUGUUGCGGUUAAAAAGCUCGUAGUUGGAUUUCUGUCAAGGACAACUGGUCCGCCCUCCGGGUGAGCACAUAGUUUGGUCUUGGCAUCUUGCUGGAAACUGUUGCUGCACUUGGUUGUGUGGCGCAGCAUCCAGCACUUUCACUUUGAGGAAAUUGGAGUGUUUCAAGCAGGCACAUGCCUUUGGACACAGUAGCAUGGAAUAAUUAGAUUGGGCUUUUGCUCCAAUUUGUCGGUUUCUGGAGCUGAGGUGAGAAUUAAUGGGGAUUGUUGGGGGCAUCCGAAUUUAGCCGUCAGAGGUGAAAUUCUUGGAUCUGUUAAAGACGGACUACUGCGAAAGCAUUUGCCAAGGAUGUUUUCAUUGA
rnacentral:rRNA from 1 species